rnacentral:rRNA from 1 species
GAUGAACGCUGGCGGCGUGCCUAAUACAUGCAAGUCGAGCGAACGGGCGCGGAGCUUGCUUUUCUGAUGUUAGCGGCGGACGGGUGAGUCACACGUGUAUACCCUCCCUAUCAGACUGGGAUCACUUCGGGACACCGGCGCUAAUACCGGAUAAUAUUUUGCACCGCAUGGUUCAAAAGUGAAAGACGGUCUUGCUGGCACUUCUAGAUGGAUCCGAGCUGCAUUAGCUAGUUGGUAAGGUAACGGCUUACCAAGGCAACGAUGCAUAGCCGACGUGAGAGGGUGAUAGGCGACACUGGAACGGAGACGCGGUCCAGAGUACUACGGGAGGGAGCAGAAGGGAAUCGGCCGCAAUGGGCGAAAGCAUGACGGAGCAAGCCCGCGUGAGUGACAAAGGUGUUCGGAUCGUAAAACUCUGUUAUUAGGGAUGAACAUAUGUGUAAGGAAAUGUGCACAUAGUGACGGUAACUAAUAAGAAAGCAACGGCUAACUACGUG